rnacentral:rRNA from 1 species
AGGCGAGCCUGACGGAGCACGCCGCGUGAGUGAUGAAGGUCUUCGGAUCGUAAAACUCUGUUAUUAGGGAAGAACAAAUGUGUAAGUAACUAUGCACGUCUUGACGGUACCUAAUCAGAAAGCCACGGCUAACUACAUGCCAGCAGCCGCGGUAAUUGA